rnacentral:lncRNA from 1 species
UUAAAAAUUUUUAUUUGAUUAAUUAGUAAAAAAUAAAAAUAAUUGACUAAUCAGAUAAUAAAACAAUGAGGUAAAAUUUCAUAUGAACUCGCUUCCUCUGUCGCUCUGGUUCUCUUCUUCGUACACACUCUCCCUCUUUUGUCGCUCACAGAUCGUAAAGCACGCCGCAGGCUAUACCGAGAACCUGCCAGCGUAAGUAAGAUAGCCACUAUUCGCAAGUUUGCUAUAACAAGUAAUUAUACAAAAUCAUUAAAAUAAAAAUUGAAUUUUCAUCACUUACGGCACAAUUUUGAAGAAGAAAGAGAUACCUUAUAAAACACAGCAGCUCAUAGUACCAAACGACUGUAUAAUAGACCAGCUUAAAUAUCCUGAUUACCAAUUCAGUAAAUGCAACCUUAUUAGAAACAUUAGAAAAAAAAAAUCGCUGACCAAGUACUCCUGCAAACGAAGAAGACGAGUUUCCGCUAUCACCAGUAUCUGCCUUCAAAUCGAACCACAGAUCUUCUUUUUCACUAAAGUGAUCAUAGAGCAGAUCUCUUUGUAGCUCCAAAUGAAACCUUUUUAAAACUUAAUGUGAUAGAUGAUGCAGAAAUAGAUAGCGUUGUAACUCUCCCCAACUCCAUCAAUUGAAUUUUAAAAAAUAAAUUAGGCUUAAAUAAAGUAAAACUAUACUGAAAAAUAUAAUAAAAUAAGGAAGGCAAACCUCUUAUUCCACGGAUACCUCAUAAUCCACGUCUAAAAGAGUGCU